rnacentral:lncRNA from 1 species
AGUGUCUGUCUACCCCUAAGUCCAGAGAACACGUCCUCUCUAGGCUCGAGCCGGAAUCAAUAUAGGCUACAAGGGCAUCAGUUCAGGCUGCGCGGAGGAGAGAAGGAAGUGCUGAUGUGGAGGAUCCGUGAGGUUCAUCUAUCUGUAGUGCUUCUGGCCAGAGAAAAGGCCGAAGAGAGAAAACCCUGAGGAACAUCUUUGACCUGCAUAGAAACUUAUCUGAAGAUUUUCAGAAUCUGAGCCUCACCCUCAGUCUAUCCCAGUUUUAUCCUGACCUGUCCACAUCUGUUAUACUCCAAGGCUUGCUGGGCCCAACACUGGAAGCUAUUUAAUGUUUCUAUUGCGACUGGCCUUUUAAAGCCAGUGGGAUUCUCCAUGCUACACUUGAGCCUGGAGACUAGAAAACAUGACAGCCUGUUUUCAUUAA